rnacentral:rRNA from 1 species
UACGGAGGAUGCGAGCGUUAUCCGGAUUUAUUGGGUUUAAAGGGUGCGUAGGCGGACUGUCAAGUCAGCGGUAAAAUUGAGAGGCUCAACCUCUUCCCGCCGUUGAAACUGGUGGUCUUGAGUGGAUGAGAAGUACUCGGAAUGCGUGGUGUAGCGGUGAAAUGCAUAGAUAUCACGCAGAACUCCGAUUGCGAAGGCAGCGUACCGGCAUCCAACUGACGCUGAGGCACGAAAGCGUGGGGAUCAAACAGG